GGCGGCAUGCUUAACACAUGCCAAGUUCGAACGGUAACAGCAGGAGCUUGCUUCUGGCUGACGAGUGGCGGACGGGUGAGUAACGCGUGGGAACAUGCCUAUCAGUUGGGGACAACCUGUGGAAACGCAGGCUAAUACCGAAUACGUUCUACGGAAUAAAGGUGGCCUCUGGUUGUAAGCUAUCGCUGAUAGAUUGGCCCGCGUUGGAUUAGCUAGUUGGUGGGGUAAAGGUCUACCAAGGCGACGAUCCAUAGCUGGUUUGAGAGGAUGAUCAGCCACACUGGGACUGAGACACGGCCCAGACUCCUACGGGAGGCAGCAGUGGGGAAUAUUGGACAAUGGGCGCAAGCCUGAUCCAGCAAUGCCGCGUGUGUGAAGAAGGCCUGAGGGUUGUAAAGCACUUUCAAUAGUGAAGAAGGGUGUGUGCUUAAUACGCACAUGCAUUGACGUUAACUAUAGAAGAAGCACCGGCUAACUCUGUGCCAGCAGCCGCGGUAAUACAGAGGGUGCAAGCGUUAAUCGGAAUUACUGGGCGUAAAGCGCGCGUAGGUGGUUUGAUAAGUUGGAUGUGAAAUUCCCGGGCUUAACCUGGGUCGGUCAUUCAAAACUGUCAGACUAGAGUAUGGUAGAGGGUAGUAGAAUUUCUAGUGUAGCGGUGAAAUGCGUAGAUAUUAGAAGGAAUACCAGUGGCGAAGGCGAC
rnacentral:rRNA from 1 species